UCUCUACUGUGCACCUGUUGAUGUUCGAGAGAGUCCUCCUCGACAUACCGACUCUCCGUAAUUUUAUUGGAGCUGUUUAUUGGGGUUUAUAUUUAUUAAUGUUCUUUGUUCUAAAACAUGAAUUAACUUUUGAGGCUGCCUCAAAAAUAUGCAAAUGCCCAGAAUUAAUGGGAAAAAAUAGUCAAUGAUGAUUAAUUCAUGAUUAGUGAUGUAUACCUCUAAAUCCUGCUCUUCUCUGAAAUCAGCUGAAAAGUAAUUUUAAAGCUGGAUAGUACAAAAGCUGCAUUAUUAUCUGAUGGAUAACAAUCAUUAAAUAAAUAAACGUGUAAUUGUUUCCAUCAAUAGGAGCUAUAGGUAUGUAGAAAUGGUUAAAUGAAACGUGUUCCAUCUAACACAUCCCCUAUCACAUCAUAUAAUUUCCAACAUGCACAUCAGCUGCUUUAACAAAAUUAGAUGGAAUCAGAAGACUGUUUUCUAAUACACUGAACUGCAAAAAUGGUUUGUUAUGUAAUUUUCAAAAUGGCGUUUCCAUGUCCCUGGUUUGACUUUCAAUGGGGUAAUCAGCAAAGGUCACCUGCUUCCCACCCACGGAAAGAAAAUUAAUGACUAUGUAACUGCAGAGUUCUCUUCUUGUGUACUGGGUUUUAAAAAAAUACACUCUAUUCAGAGUAAAAAAUGUACACAAAAUAGGAACUGUGCAAAAAUUCUAUUGACAUUCUCGGAGGCUAUACAUACAUUCAAUGCUUCGUAAUGUAGUGUUUACCAAAUUCUACCCGACACCCUUGCCGUGGUGAAUUACUGUUGGUUUAUAGUAAAAUCUCUCAAAUCACAAUCACACAGUGCUGCCCACAAUCUUGCUGCCCACCUUUCCCGGGAAUGGUGCGUAAUGAACUGGGAUCGAGUGUGGUGUGAACAUGUUGGAACAAUAAACCAAAACGAGCCAACAACUGCCGGAAUAUUAACUCAUAGGUUGGGGUUUCUCUCAAAUAUAUUUUCUUGCUGGUUCUUCCAGGUAAUGAAUAUUCCCAGGCUGCAAGGUCAAGCCACAAUCUUUGUUCACACCAAUUUAUUUCCAAAAGUUUUCCGUUUGGAGGUUAAUUGUGGAGGCAUUAUUCCAGUUUAGCAUGAAGUCAACCUGGGACCUGAAGUGGGUUAUUGUGAGUUUCCCAUAGCAUUGAUUUACUGCACUAAUAUAUCCCUUUAGCCACAAGGGCCACAUCUAACUCCCUCUUAAAUAUAGCCAAUGAACUGACCUCAACUACUUUCUGUGGCAGAGAAUUCCACAGAUUCUCUGUGUGAAUUGCAUUGCUCUGAUGAAGAACAUUGUCGUGAUAUGGAGUUCACCUCCAUCUGGGGAUGCUUCAUAUAGUCUUAUUGGAUGGCCCUGAUUCCAUCAGCUUGUCCUUUUGCAGUAGUUUGUGAUUCUUUUAUAUCAUGGAGUCACAGAGUGGUACAGCGUGGAAACAGGCCCUUUGGCCCAACUUGUCCACACUGGCUAAUAUGUCCCAGCUACACUAGUCUGACCUGCCUGCGCUUGAUCCAUAUCCCUCCAAACUUGUCCUAUCCAUGUACCUGUCUAAAUGCUUCUUAAACGUUGGGAUAGUCCCAGCCUCAACCACCUCCUCUGGCAGCUUAUUCCAUACACCUACCACUCUUUGUGUGAAAAGGUUACCUCUCAGAUUCCUAUUAAAUCUUUUCCUCUUCACCUUGAACCUAUGUCUUCUGGUCCUCGAUUCCCCUAAUCUGGGUCAGAAAUUCUGUGCAUCUACCUGAUCUAUUCCUCUCAUGAUUUUACACGCUUCAGACGUUCAUAAUUGUCUAUGACGGCUGUAGAAAAUAAGGUUUGGAGACUAACUAAUUAGCAUAUCACUCAACAAAGUUAAUCAUCAGCAUUCGUGGAGGAAGUACCAACAUCAUAACUCUGCUACAUAAGCAAUUGCAUCGUAAUGAAAGAGUAAAGUCCUGGCCAAUAUAAUUCUGACAGGUGUUAAUGUACACAGAAAAAUGGACGAGAAGAAAUAAUGUUCUUCUUUUCAGUGCUAUGUUUAUUGAUUUGUUAAUAGUUUUAAGCAUUUGUUUUCUCCAAGUUAAUAACAAAUAGCCAAGUUCCUAGCAAUGAUUUAUCCUUCUUUCCUGAAAUAUAAUAAACAGCAGACUUUCCAGGCAUUGAGAACCCUUCCUGUUGGUAGGUUUUUGUUAAUGAUUACCAUUUACACUGUUCGAAGGCCUACUGUUCCAAUAGUGAAACAAAGAAAGAUUCUUCAGAGUGAAAACCAACAGUGUGCGCUUACAUGAGUAGCGGGACGGUGCAGGACAAAUCUAUCGAUAAUUAUCAUGGUGAGAUCAGACAAAGUAACAUGGACUCUCUUUUUUGUUCUUCUACAUGUAAAAGCUUCCACCGCAGCACUACCAAAAUUUGGCUCAAAUAUGACUGUCGUAUCUGUUCCAGAAGAUACACCUAUAGGUUGGUUUACUAUUAAUGUUUAGGAAAAAGAAAUUCUUCAUGAAUUCAGAUACAUUUUCAAACGUGCUAAAAACAGAAUUUAGGUUUUUACAUAUCGUGGUCAUGAGGGACCUAAUUGCCUUACCAGUGAUGUUUAUUUUGGUGUGUUGUGUAGAUAUAGUGCAUACAUUGUGUGAUGAAACUACAAAAAAAAACUCUAUUGAACAAAUGUGAGCUAGAUAUUGGAAGGUUUGCAAUAAACAUUUCCCAGCAAA